rnacentral:lncRNA from 1 species
GUGAGCUGUGCUGGCUAUUCACUCUCUCUGUUGUGAUUUUCUUGCCCACACCUCUGAGAGUCAAUUUGUGAGCUGACUAGAAAUUUUCCCUAAAGCAUUUGGCUCAGCUGCUUCUCAAACAUAGAUGCUUAGAUCGCUGGCUAAGAACCAGACUUCUGAAUCCAGGGCUCACUGGGCAAAACCUUUAUGAACCAUCAAGCCACAGCAAAUUCCAGUUGUUUUGAUAUUGCUCUUGCUCCUGCAGUUCAAGAAUCUUAGCUGAUAGCAGGCUGAGAGCUCUUUUUGCAGUUCCUGUGGAGUUCUGCUCAGUAUUCUGGUAAAAGAAAGUAAUAUUUUCAGUAGACUUCCCUGGAAGUAUUUGUUGCUGACAACUUGCCUUUAGCUGUCAGACUGUAAAACCAUCUUCACCUAAGUGACUGACCAGCCAAAUACAUUUAGAAUUCUAUCCAUAAUGAGCAGGCUUUAAAAAAAAAAUAAAAAUAAAAAAAAAUUGUAGAUUUUCUCUGUC